UACGUAGGUGGCAAGCGUUGUCCGGAAUUAUUGGGCGUAAAGAGCGUGUAGGCGGCCGCACAGGUCCGUUGUGAAAACUGGAGGCUUAACCUUCAGACGUCGAUGGAAACCGUGCGGCUAGAGUCCGGAAGAGGAGAAUGGAAUUCCUGGUGUAGCGGUGAAAUGCGCAGAUAUCAGGAAGAACACCCGUGGCUAAGGCGGUUCUCUAGUACGGUACUGACGCUGAGACGCGAAAGCGUGGGGAGCGAACAGG
rnacentral:rRNA from 1 species